rnacentral:tRNA from 1 species
AGUCUUAUAUUCAUAUUAGUGAUAUAAAAUUGCAAAUUUUAAGGGAUAAUUUAAAUUAUUAAGACUU